GGCGCGUUGGCGAAGGGGUAACGCGACUGUCUGCAAAACAGUUAUGCACCGGUUCGACUCCGGUACGCGCCU
rnacentral:tRNA from 1 species